AGAACUGGUGCUGCUGUCCUCGUCCAGCAGCUGCGCCCAGCCGGCUCCCAGAUCGCCCGGCAGCCCCGCUGACAUCGCUGCGCCCACAGACAGAGAGCAGAUGACAACGAAGGUACCCUUUGGCAAGAAUAUAAAGGGCAACAAAGCAGUGCCGAGCCAGCCUUCCCUGCGCAGAGGGUGCUAAAUCCCUAAGGCUAGAUUUUCAAAGGGAUUUACAUGUCUAAAUGCUGCAAAUCAGCAUCCGAUGGUGUCUCAACGAUUUUGCAGGGCUGCUCCUUCCCAUCUACCAGCAAAGCGCUCUGCAGAGAAGGACUGGCUGGGAUGGAAGCCUCUGGUUUGCAACAGCUCCUGCAGUGCAAAGCAGUGCCGGCUCUUGGAAGAUGGGGUGGCUUUUAAUGACCCCAGCAUCACUGCAUCGCCCCUCCUGUGAGCAGACAAAGCAGAAAGCUUGAAGCAGAAAACAUCAAUACUGGUGACUGGUAAACAGGAGGGAGGGCUGCAGCUGCAGAGCUCUCUCCGAAGCGGUGCGUAAGCAAAGCCCAGGCUGUGAUGCGGGCACUGAACCAACUCGCUAUUUCAGAGUGGUGAUUUUUGGCACUGCUGUCAGCAGGGUCUGUGCCUCGCUGGGAAUAGCCAGCGCUCUGUCUGCACAUCAAAAAAACCUGAAAGCCACCAGCCUACAAGGAAGCUGCAUGAAAUGAGCAGGACAGUGCCGGAUGCACCGCGGUAGUUAUGCCAGGAGCGCCGUGUUGAGGGCAGCGAUGCGCUGAGGCACACACCCGAGCUUUCUGGCCAUGCCUGGGGAACUCCAGCACGGUGUCCCAGAGGGCAAAAGGCUUACAGCCCAUGGAUGCGUAAUGGGCCCACAGGUGUUUGGAAAUUAAUUAUCACCUGGUAAAAGAAUUGUUAC
rnacentral:lncRNA from 7 species